GGUUCAGGAUGAACGCUGGCGGCGUGCUUAACACAUGCAAGUCGAACGAAGCAACUUAUUACGAUCCCUUCGGGUGACGAUUGUUGACUGAGUGGCGGACGGGUGAGUAACGCGUGGGUAACCUGCCUUGUACAGGGGGACAACAGUUGGAAACGACUGCUAAUACCGCAUAAGCGCACAGCUUCGCAUGAAGUAGUGUGAAAAGAUUUUUCGGUACAAGAUGGACCCGCGUCUGAUUAGCUAGUUGGUGAGGUAACGGCCCACCAAGGCGACGAUCAGUAGCCGACCUGAGAGGGUGACCGGCCACAUUGGGACUGAGACACGGCCCAAACUCCUACGGGAGGCAGCAGUGGGGAAUAUUGCACAAUGGGCGAAAGCCUGAUGCAAGCGACGCCGCGUGAGCGAAGAAGUAUUUCGGUAUGUAAAGCUCUAUCAGCAGGGAAGAUAAUGACGGUACCUGACUAAGAAGCACCGGCUAAAUACGUGCCAGCCGCCGC
rnacentral:rRNA from 1 species